UCUUGACACUAGUGGUUGCCAUCUAGAGAGCUUUUGGAAGGCAGAGGUCGGAAACAUUGAGGCGAGUUCUGGAAUCUGGUUUGCUAACCAGGGAAGAAUCAGUAGAUGGGAUGUUGCUGGAAAUGGAGGUUCUCAAUGGCGCUCUCCAAUCCUUACCUCAGGAACAGGGGAAUUCUGAGCAGAGUCCUAGUUCUUAAAAUUUCAGUGAAAAUUACAUCAGCAGCCAUCGCAGCUCCAGUGAUCUGGGAGAACUAACUUGAGCACCGAAGACAAACUCUAAAAGACUGUGAAAUCGCUGGAAGAAAAAGGUUGUCUACCAAUCUUAACCUAAUCAAGAUGUUGAUGUUUUAUUGGUUCCUAAUUUAAGCUAAUCAGGCCAAUCAAAGGAAAAGUGACUUUUUAAUAAUGCCUUCAAAUCCUAAUUUUGUUGAGCACUUGAUUUUGUAGCAGGUACAAUCCUAGAUUCCUUAUUAUAUCUCAUUGAAUCCUUGUAACGACUCUAUGAAGCAAAUGUUUCCAAAACUAUAACUUUUCUUAGGGAUGAAGAAAGAGUGAAGUAACUUACCCAAGCCAUGGAACUAACUAGCACAUUUAUCACUUUAUAACAUGAAAUGUUAUGUUAGUGAAUAUUGUGAACUGAAGUGAGUAC